GGCUUUGCAUUUGAAGUCCUAUGACUUGAAGGGAACGCCUUCCUGGCCUUCCUGACAUCCAGGAAAAAUUUGUAUUUGACAGAGGCAGUAGAGAUCUACUGGAAACAGUGAAGAGGGAGGAGAUGAUAUGCAGCAAAAGGCCCAGCCGGAUGGUUGCUGCUCCGUGUGGAACGUGUUCUAUCAGGUGUAACAUCUACCAAUGGUGGUACAGAAACCUCCUCCACCUCUUUGCUGUCUUACUAGUCAAU